GGACCUGACGGCUUAAGGUGCGAAAGGCCGUGGGGAGCAAAAGGGAUGAGGAUACCCGCUGGGUAGUCACGCCGUAAACGAUGUCCGACUUGGAGGUUGGUUCCCGUGAGGAGUGGCUUCCGGAGCAACGCGUAAAGUCGACCGCCUGGGGAGUACGCCCGCAAGGUAAAAACUCAAAUGAAUUGACGGGGGCCCGCACAACCGGUGGAGCAUGUGGUUAAAUUCGAUGCAACGCGAAGAACCUUACCUACUCUGAAAUCCAGAGAACUUAGAAGAGAUGCUUUGGUGCCUUCGGGAACUUGAGACAGGUGCUGCAUGGCGUUGUCAGCUCGUGUUGUGAAAUGUUGGGUUAAGUCCCGCAACGAGCGCAACCCUUAUCCUUUGUUGCCAGCGGUUCGGCCGGGAACUCAAAGGAGACUGCCAGUGAUAAACUGGAGGGGAAGGUGGGGAUG
rnacentral:rRNA from 1 species